CGAUACGAUGAAGAAGUUGUUUGCCAGCCCGUUACUUGAAACUUUAGAAGUUGACGAUUGUUGUUGGGUGAAACCCAAAAGGAUACGCAUUUCUGCCCCAGGCUUCAACAUUUAUAUAUCAAAAUCUAUUCUCAUAGUUCAUAUGACUGCAUCCUACACAUCAGUGGACCUUGUCUUAAAUCCUUCCACUAUCAUGGCGUUUUCGUCAAAGAAUACUGCAUAUUGGGAGUCACCAGACAGCUAAUUGAGGUCAAGCUACUACUGAGUUUUAGAAGUGUAAGAGAUAGAGAAGUAGCCCAGGGUAACAAGCUCCUGUCAGUCUUCUCAAAUGUGAAGGAGUUAACUCUAUCUUACGCAAUUCUAGAGGCGAGCUCCUUUUCGUACAUUUUCCCUCUCUAGUGUGAUUUUAUUUUGUUUCUAUCGCAGAGGUUCACCAUUUUGCUCCAUCCUUAGGACCUUGCCACAAGGGAUGAGCUUCCUUUGUUCAGUAAUAUGAUCAAGGUCACAUCGGAUUGGAUAAGUUCUAUAACUGUUAAGGGCCUUUGGGGGAUAUUGAGAAGAUCCCCUCAUCUUCGAAGCCUCUACUUUAGACUGGGAUUCAAGUACUAUCCACAAAAUGGAAUAGAAGAGUUGCUACACCAAGUGCCUUCAUGUUUCGUUACAGAGCUCACAAAGAUAUCUGUCAAGUUUCGUAAUGGGAUAGGUGGCCCGGAAGAGCUUUUCGUGGUUGGGAUUUUCCUUGAGAAGGUUGUGGCUUUGAGAGAAAUGGUUAUCCUAUUUCCCGAGGACUGUGUGGACGAGGAGAAUCUGCUGGAGAGUUUAAGCAAGUUUCCCAAGGGGUCAAAGAAAUGUCGAAUAUCAUUGCAAGCACAACCUAUGGGUUGAGAUUGGAAAAUCUUGUGGGAUUAAUUUAGUCUGUCGUGAUAUUUUGAUUCGUGAAAUGAGCUUCCAUUGUGAUUUUGUUUGGUGCCUUUUUGUUUAGUUAUAUACUUUGUAAGUUUGAUGUAAUUUUGUCUACAGAGGCACAUCAGAGGAAGUAUGCAAUCCAGAAUCCUUGGUCAGAAGAGGUUCUUGAACUAGACCUGAGUCAUGGGAGAAAGAAACAGCAUAUUCGGCGGAUGAAAAAGAUGACAAAACAAAGGCUUUUCGAGCAUCUGUCAGCAACAUUGUCGCACACUCCAACUCUGCAGUAGAAGUAAGUAUAAGAUAUAUUUUUUCUUAGUUGUUUCUUCUACUAGUGCAGGUCAUGAUCUAAUUUGUAGUCAUUUCAAAUGCCUGCAUAUUCACUUUGUUCUAAAGUUAUCAUCCAUCUUUAUUUCACUUCUAAAUUUGUUCCAUAGCGUGUUUCUCUAAACUAUUUGCUUAUUUGUUGCUGACAUAUCGGUUGAGCUGCUUAUAAAAAGAAAGAUGAUAUUUUGAUUGAGGGACACAAUGCUCUAUGAAUCAAGCUUAUGCCUUAAGAAUGGUAUGUACUUCGGAUUUUCUCCGGAAUUUAAAAGAAACUGUUUGGGAAGUCUGUGUACCUUCUUAUGUGACUUAACCUGGAUUUUUCUUUAUGAUUCAUGAGGUGGAUAUCGUUGUGUGUCCACGUCAUUUUCUUUCUAAAACUGAUAUAAAGAGAUUUUUCUUCAUUCUACUUGUUGUAGACGUUAGACUGAGUGGUAAUCAUUUUGAUAAGAAAAAUUAUUACUAGAUGAAAAAUAUUUGGGGUUCCCUUUCAUGCUUGCCAUGAAGAUGAGUUUUCUGGUAUUUCCACUUUCUCUUUAGUAUUUCUUGAAGCAAAAUGAAAAACUGGAUAGCUUUACAAGAGAUUUAUUGUUUUCCAAAAAAAAAACAAAUUGUGGCAGUAGAGCCAGUCUCGCAAUGUUUUCUCCCUCAUCUUUUAUUUCCAAGUAGCAAAAAAUUAUAGUAUGUUUAUCUCUUCGAAAUGUAAGAACAUCUACAUUUGGCAACCUCUCGAGUUAAAUAGUGGUGUAGGCGAAUGCAAGAACAGAGGCAUGGUAGGAGUUUGUGGCGGCGUUGAAGGAAUCCAUAGCUCAUUUGAAUAUUUGGUUUCCAUUUGAUGAGCUAUUCCAUUUGUUAGUGCUACAGUCUCUGGGCUCAAUUCUUUUACAGUGGUGAGAGAGCACAAUUUUGGAUAUAAGUAACGAACAUUAGACAUGUCAUUAGUUUUUGUCAUGUUGAUACAUAAGAAUCUUCAUUCUUGUA